AUUGAUUAUGCUUAAUUUCUUGUUUCAGGUUAUGUUACAGGCAGCGAUAUAUUUUUGGCAAGGUGAAAAUACAGGAGUGUUUGUUGCAGAGUUACAAAGCAGUCCUGAUACAGAGAGGAAACUGGAAGACUCCAAGAAUGUGUUUUUUCCCUGAUGUUCCACUCAGAGUCCUUGUCAAAGUAGAUUUUGCAGACUGUUCAUAAAUUAGAAGCUGAAACAUGACUUUGUAUAAAAGGUGCACCUCUCCAAAUUCCUGCUUCCUUACUUCAACUGACAUCCUUGUGCUUAAACCAGCUUCAUUGUGAGUAUUCAGAGGAAAUAUGACAGUAAUUUUUGAAAGGAACCAUAGGCAUUAGUGAACUAAAAAGUUCCAGCAAAAUUAACUUCUAAAAAUGAUAAAUUUGCAAAUGGAUUUCUAAAGCAUAUUUUCUUCAGAGGAGAAGGUACAGCCUUGUGGUUAGGCCCUAGUUAUAACUUUGAGAUUCAGGUUCAGCUGCUGAUUUUAAAGCAAUUGUGUGCAACAGGGCAAACCUAUUCAUUUCUGUAAGUUGCAGAUCUGAAAAAUCAGCUUGCUUACUGACAGAAGUGUUUAUGUGACUACAUGUAUUUAUGAUUUGAGCAAAUGCUGUGGCAGUGGCAAUUUGAGUAAUUAAAUAUUAGAGAUCUGUUUUUCAGAGGAUAUCAUUUGGCUUUUUCAGAUUUUUCUCUCCUACUUUAUUAAAAAAAAACCAACUGUUCUACCACAAACUUUGUUCAGGCGAUUGUUAAUAGGUGACAGUGUUCUAUUAUAUCGUAAAAUGUGAGGCAUUCAGAGCUAGGAAGUAUAUUAUCAAGAGUUUUCUAGAAAUGCACUGUUAAUUGUCAUGUUUUUAACUCCUUUUGUAAUGGGAAAGCAAUAACUGCUUUUUUUUUUACAAUUUGUUACCCUGGCUGAAAGAGUUAGUUUAAAUCUGGAUGAUGAAUGACUGUUACCUGUUUAGGUUUAUUUAACUGGAAUAACAGUGAAUUAAUGUUUCUUCUCUUCUGAUUUAUUCAUUUUAAAAAGAUACUUGUUAACAAAAUCUUUUUGUGAUAAUUGAUUCAAGGUAAAAGUUGAUCUGCAUUUUCACCUAAACAUCUUAAGUCAAAAGAACUAUAUUAUAAGUGCUUUUGCUAUGGACCAUAUUUUCCCACAUAUUAGUGCAAUAUUCUGCACAGUUAAACCUUAAAUUCUGAAUUGAGUCUUUUGGUGCUAUCAUAAAAAUAUAACCAAAACUGUACAUAGUAACCAUUGUUAUUAUAAAAUAGGUGUUGACUUUUAUGUACUUAGAAGAAUUUGUACAAACUUAUGAUUUGCUUUGGGUCUUUAUUGUUAAUGUAGAUACUGAAUAUUCUAGGAAAUGCAAUGUCUUGUGUUAAUACAGGACCAUGUCUUAAAAGACUCAUCCAAUGUGCCCAGCAUACUACCCAAUUUAUUUAAAUCACACUAUUCACUUUACUGUGAAUUUAUAGUCAUAAGGGUUCUCUGUAUUUCUAGCUCAGUAGUUAAAGCUACUAAAAUGUCAUUCCCAAUAAAAAGCUAAUAGUUUCA